ensembl:lncRNA
AUUUUUCAAAGCUUUGAAGUCACAUGAUUAAAGUGGUGGAUUAACCUGCCAGAAACAUCUAGAAUGUAGAGCGAGGGUGCACUGGAAAUAGGAAAAUAGAUGGACUUUGCAGUAAUCCAGAUGCAAGGCAACUGAGAAGGGGGCAGGAAUGAGCGGCGUCCAGGAGCCGGAGAAGAGAGGAUGCUUGGGACCUGGCAGCUUCCUUUUCAUCUCUAGGCACUGGAAUGGAUGGGUGUCCUGGUUUGGAUUUUCUAGUUCAGCCCUAAAGAAGAUUUCUGCUAAGGAAGAAGGCUUUGCCUGGAGUUUCUGGUGCUGGUGGUGGAAGAAACGUAUAAUCAUGAGAGCUGCUGGGAUCCAUUUGCAACCCUGCAUGAUGCUGACCACACAGAAAGAAGACGAGAAAAACAGAAUCCAGAGGCCUUGACGUUCUUACUGGGCCCCAGUAUCAAACUCAAAACCUUCCCUACCUCUGGACUUCCAGUUAUGUGAUCCCUGAAAGGUAUCCACAUGUGACCUUUCCCAGUAAGACUUUAGUUAGGUUGGCUAAAGUGUUAGCAGAGUCUAAUCUUGUUGGCAGAAAAAAAAAAUGCCUUUUACUAUGUUUGUACCUUUUAAAGACCUCAUAGCCCAGCAGACUGCAUAAAUGCUGGUGAAUUUCUUUCAAACCAUUGUCAAAUAAAACAUCCCAUCUCCAAUUAGCAGAAUGUCUCCAUUCUGAAAGUCUAGGAGCCUUCUUUAUUUUUUUAUUCUAAAAAUAUCUAUACCAGGAUUGCAAUAAUUUGAGGAUUACUAACAAGAAAAACUCCUGAAACUUUUGAGACUGGGAUUUGCAUUUGCAAAAUGAUUUGCAACCAGACCUGCCAGGUAGCACUUCACGGAAAUCAAAAAGUGGGUUUUGAAUAUCUGGAUUAUAUUUUUUGGCAUCCAAAUUCAUAGUAAAAUCAUCUUUCUAGCUGUCUGCAGUAGAUGUGGCUAAACUCUCAGAACAGCUUCCACAAGUGCUGAAUAACUUUUGAUAAAAGUCGAUGUAGCUGGAACACAGUCACAUUUGAUUGACUUACCUUAAUUCUCUAAAUCAGCUUAUUGCCCAAACAGCUCCUCAAUUCGGGUGUCCCCGUGCUGCGGCCACCUUCUCUAGUUGCCAGAGCCCGCUCCUCCACCCUAAAUAACUGCGACUGCGGCAGAGGCGUUUGGGUUGGUUUAAGAUGGCAGUAUAUCCCCCUGUUUCUUCAUUCAGGAUUUCUUUCCUUCAAAGGAGACUUUGUGUUUCCCAAGUUUCCUUCUUCUGCUUGUAUGAAUCUAAAAUGAAUCUGAACUAAAAGUACUUGUUGAGUGGUUAUGCUCCCAACUGUAAUUUGGAGUCAAGGUAUGAAUAUUUUAUACUCAAAGAGUCACUGAAGAUUUGUAGGAGGUUUUUAAAAAUAAAAUGAAUACACUCAUUUUGUUGGCUCAGGUAGACUAUAGCUGGGGGAAAACAAAAAUACAGGACGAGCCCUCAAUCAUGAGUCUUUAAAAAAUGAAUCAGGAUUUGUGUUUUGGGAUAAUCAGGAGUCCCUGUGGUGAGUACACAGUGUCCUUUGGAGGAAAGAAAUACCAGCCUGAAGGAGAACCGGGAAACAAAAACAAAAGCCACCCAAAUGCUCCAAUCUCGUUUUAAACCAACCCAAAUUCCAGAGGUGCCGUUUCAGAAGGGAGCUCUUCAUGCCCUGGCAGAAAUUAGGUGUCAAGCUAGAGAGCCAGUAUUCAGAUGCCUGUGGCUUCCUUUCACUGCAAAAAUAGAUUUAAAAAAUAAUCCAGUCUUUGGCACAUUUUCUCCGAGACGGAGAGACCUGAGUAGCCCCUUUGCUUUCGCUGUAUGUUUGUGUUGCACUGAGCUGAGGGCUUUGUGAGCUCAUAGGCUACUUCAAAAGCUGUUGAAAACAGUCAAAACCGAAACUGAAUACAUGUGAAUUAAGCAUUUCCUUUUUUAUAUAAAUCUGUGAGUUGUUUUUUUUUAAAAUAACAUCUAUUGGUUUACAUAGAGGGACCCC